rnacentral:ncRNA from 1 species
AGGGUAACUGGCUUGUGGCAGCCAAGCAUUCAUAGCAACGUCGCUUUCUGAUCCUUCAAUAUCGGGUCUUCCUAUCAUUGUGAAGCAGAAUUCACCAAAUGUUGGGUUGUUCACCCACUAAUAGGGAACAUGAGCUGGGUUUAGACUGCUGUGAGACAGCUUAGUUUUACCCUACUGAUGUUGUGUUGUUGCGAUAGUAAUCCUGCUCAGUACGAGAGGAACCGCAGGUUCAGACCCCUGGUGCAUGCACUUGGCUGAGGAGCCACUGUCAUGAGGCUACCAUCUGCGGUCUUGUGACUGAAUGCCUCUAAGUCAGAAUCCCGCCUAGACGUAGCGAUAGCGCAGCACCGUCGGUGCCUUGGUGGGCUCGUGAUAGCCAGCUGCCCGCCUCCCUCUGGCGGUGCGGGCCCAGUGCGGAGUGCUGCUCGUGGUUGGGAUUGGAGGAGCGAUGGAUGUGGAACCGCCUCUCCCCCAUUGCAUACUGCAUGACCAUGGGGCACCCGGCGCUAAAUCAUUUGUAGAUGACCUGAUUCUGGGUCAGGGUUUUGUAUGUAGCAGAGCAGCUCCCUCUCUACGAUCUAUUGAGAAUCAGCCCUCAACACAAGAUUUUU